rnacentral:lncRNA from 10 species
CAGCGUUCUGUGUCUAGCUAAAGGUUUGUAAACACACCAAUCAGCACUCUGUAAAAAUGGACCAAUCAUCACUCUGUAAAAUGGACCAAUCAGCAGGAUGUGGGCAGGGCCAAAUAAGGGAAUAAAAAUUGGCCACCUCCCCCACCCACACCAGCAGUCGCAAACCUGCUCAGGUUCCCUUCUAUGUCAGGAAGGUUUGUUCUUUCACUCUUCACAAUAAAUCUUGCUGCUGCUCACUCUGGGUCCACACUAGCUUUAUGAGCUGUAACACUCACCAGGAAGGUCUGUGGCUUCAUUCCUGAGAAUGAAGUCAGCGAGACCACGAACCGACCGGAAGGAAGAAACACU